GACGGAGGAUGCAAGUGUUAUCCGGAAUCACUGGGCGUAAAGCGUCUGUAGGUGGUUCGAAAAGUCCACUGUUAAAAAUUGAAGCUUAACUUCAAAGAUGCCGUGGAAACUUUCAAACUAGAGUGUGGUAGGGGUAGAGGGAAUUUCCAGUGGAGCGGUGGAAAUGCGUAGAUAUUGGAAAGACCACCGAUGGCGAAGGCACUCUACUGGGCCAUUACUGACACUGAGAGACGAAAGCUAGGGGAGCAAAUGGG
rnacentral:rRNA from 1 species